rnacentral:tRNA from 1 species
CAGAAGAUAGUUUAAUGGAGAAUAUCAGGUUUGGGAGCUGGAGGUAGAGGUUUAAGAAGUCCUCUUUUUCUGA